rnacentral:lncRNA from 1 species
GUGGAGGUGAAUUAGGACUAUGCCAAAAAUAGCUCAAAGGGAUCCACAGGCCACUGUACUCCAAUUAUUGCUGGUGAUUUGAGGAGCAAGGUCUCUCUCUCCCUUUAUUUUUUAUUUUAUUUUUCUUUUAAAAAGAAGGGGUUAUCACCUUAUCUUCUUUAGCUUUGUGGGUGUAGUGCAUCAUCCUCUCAGGAUACCUAAUUAACAAGGGCCCACUUGUUGGAUCAAUUCUCUAAAAUUUUCUGUUAUCUAUCUAGUCAAUAUAUACUGUGGUACGUUUGGAAUGAUUAGGAGAUGUUUGUGUUUCAGACGGAAACAUCUUCGCUUGGACUAGAGGUGAUCACUUGAGAUCAUUACACUCAUAUAUAUAAAUAUAUAUAUAGGAUAAAAAUAAACAAGCAAAGCGUUGAUAAUUUAUGAAAAUAAAACAAGCUUUUCCACUUU